rnacentral:rRNA from 1 species
CAGCAGCCACGGGAAUACGAAGGGGGCUAGCGUUGCUCGGAAUGACUGGGCGUAAAGGGCGCGUAGGCGGUUUUGACAGUCAGAUGUGAAAUUCCUGGGCUUAACCUGGGAAUGGCAAUGGAUACUGGCUCGCUAGAGUGUGUCAGAGGAUGGUGGAAUUCCCGGUGUAGCGGUGAAAUGCGUAGAGAUCGGGAGGAACAUCAGUGGCGAAGGCGGCCAUCUGGGACAACACUGACGCUGAGGCACGAAAGCGUGGGGAGCAAACAGGAUUAGAUACCCCGGUAGUCCCUGUCUCUUAUAC